rnacentral:rRNA from 1 species
UGCAGAAUCCCGCGAACCAUCGAGUCUUUGAACGCAAGUUGCGCCCGAGGCCAUUUGGCCGAGGGCACGCCUGCCUGGGCGUCACGCAAAACACGCUCCCCCCUCUAAUCAUGUGGCGGGAUGCGGCAUGUGGCUCUCCGUCUCGCAAGGGGCGGUGGGCCAAAGAUCCGGCUGCCGGCGUAUCGUGCCGGACACAGCGCGUGGUAGGCGAUCUCGCUUUACUAAACGCAGUGCAUCCGGGGCAUAGCCGGCGCAAUGCCCUCAAUGGACCCUAUUAACGGAGCACACGAAGCUUCGACCGCGACCCCAGGUCAGGCGGGACUACCCGCUGAAUUUAAGCAUAUAAAUAAGCGGAGGAGAAGAAACUUACAAGGAUUCCCCUAGUAACGGCGAGCGAACCGGGAACAGCCCAGCUUGAGAAUCGGGCGGCUGUGCCGUCCGA